GAAAAAAACAUGAGGGAAUGGAGUGAUUUGUCUAAGAACAAAUUCCGUCGGGAAAAAAAAUAUGUCGGAAAAGCGUUCGGAAAAUCGUAUCGUUUGGUCAAUUUCCGGCUAAGGGGCGCCAUCGGGGUAGGAUUUUGUGUGGGUUGUGCGUGAAAAUGGUGGAAAGUUUAAACGGGAGUGAGAUAAUUUGGGGAGAGGGCGUUUUGAAAUUGCCAAGGACUGAAUUGAAAAUUCUGAAACUUUCAUUUUGGGUAAUGAAAUUUUUGGGGUUAAUCUGUAAUUUCAAUUUUUAUGAUUUUAAGGGUAUUUAGGUCUUUUCAGGUUAGAACACGCACCCCAAGCCGCACAAUCCGCGCGUGAAGAACACGAUAACCCGUUAGGGACCUUAUUGGCUUUGACUAACUUUCAUAGGGGGGUCCGUGCUAAUUUUUUUAACAGAAGGGGUUUUUCAGCAAUUAGAGUUUACACAAGGGUGGUUCUUGCAAAAAACCC
rnacentral:lncRNA from 1 species